GCCAGUGUGGUGUAGUGGUUUGGGUGUAGGACUUCGACUCUGGAGGCCAGGGUUUGAAUCCUUGCUCAGCCA